rnacentral:rRNA from 1 species
UCAGGAUGAACGCUAGCGGCAGGCUUAACACAUGCAAGUCGAGGGGCAGCAUGAUUUAACUUUCGGGUUAGAUUGAUGGCGACCGGCGCAAGGGUGCGUAACGCGUGAGCAACUUGCCCUUAUCAGGGGGAUAACCGUUGGAAACGACGACUAAUACCCCAUAGCAUCACUUUGAGGCAUCUUUAGUGAUUAAAGAACUUCGGAUAAGGAUAGGCUCGCGUGACAUUAGCUAGAUGGCGGGGUAACGGCCCACCAUGGCGACGAUGUCUAGGGGUUCUGAGAGGAAGGUCCCCCACACUGGAACUGAGACACGGUCCAGACUCCUACGGGAGGCAGCAGUGAGGAAUAUUGGUCAAUGGUCGAGAGACUGAACCAGCCAUGCCGCGUGAAGGUCACGGCCCUAUGGGUCUUAAACUUCUUUUGUAAGGGAGCAAUAAGGUUCACGUGUGGACUGAUGAGAGUACCUUACGAAUAAGCAUCGGCUAACUCCGUG